rnacentral:lncRNA from 1 species
CACAGAGCCAGGAGGAGGCAGAAACGCUGCGUUUUUCCUUUCUCUACAGCUCUGCCGUUACCUCAGGCUCCCGGCCUGGCCUUUCUGCUGUCAGUACCAAAGGGGACCCAGGCAGAUGCCCUUAGAUCUGGUGGACAAAAUGGGUUGAUUUCCAGGGGAUCCUCCUUGAGUCUACCCUCUGCUUAAAGAGAUCCACCGGAUGGCGCUGCGCAGCCAGCUAAUGCAGGACACGGACCAACUGCAGCCGGUGCCAGAAGAAUCUGUCGCUCCAGACCUCCGUCAAAGGGCUGUACGUCUUCUGUGUCUUGCUGAUCAUCGCCGUGAUGGUGCUGGCGUCCCUGGGUAAGCGCAGCCUCGGGGGACCCGACUCCCUUUUCCUUCCUGCCUGCCCCUCCCCAGGAAACACGAG